GGUCAAGCGACUAAGCGUAUACGGUGGAUGCCUUGGCAGCUGGAGGCGAUGAAGGACGUAGGAGCCUGCGAAAAGUCUAGGGGAGCUGGCACACAAGCUUUGAUCCUGGAAUGUCCGAAUGGGGAAACCCACCCGCUUGCGGGUAUCCAUGACUGAAUUCAUAGGUCAUGGAGGCGAACCCGGGGAACUGAAACAUCUAAGUACCCGGAGGAAAAGAAAUCAACCGAGAUUCCCUGAGUAGCGGCGAGCGAAAGGGGAUUAGCCCUUAAGCCUAUUAUGUUUUAGUGGAAGGUUCUGGAAAGUACCGCGAUACAGGGUGAUAGCCCCGUACACGAAAAGGCAUUUUAGGUGAAAUCGAGUAGGUCGGGACACGUGUUAUCUUGACUGAACAUGGGGGGACCAUCCUCCAAGGCUAAAUACUCCCAGCUGACCGAUAGUGAACCAGUACCGUGAGGGAAAGGCGAAAAGAACCCCGGAGAGGGGAGUGAAAUAGAACCUGAAACCGUAUACGUACAAGCAGUAGGAGCCCUACGGGGUGACUGCGUACCUUUUGUAUAAUGGGUCAGCGACUUAUUGUCUGUAGCAAGGUUAACCGCAUAGGGGAGCCGUAGAGAAAUCGAGUCUUAAUAGGGCGUUCAGUUGCAGGCAAUAGACCCGAAACCCGGCGAUCUAUCCAUGGGCAGGUUGAAGAUUGAGUAACAUCAAUUGGAGGACCGAACCCACUAACGUUGAAAAGUUAGGGGAUGACCUGUGGAUCGGAGUGAAAGGCUAAUCAAGCCGGGAGAUAGCUGGUUCUCCUCGAAAGCUAUUUAGGUAGCGCCUCGCGUCUCACCCUCGGGGGUAGAGCACUGUUUGGGCUAGGGGGUCAUCCCGACUUACCAACCCCAUGCAAACUCCGAAUACCGAGGAGUGCAAUCGCGGGAGACACACGGCGGGUGCUAACGUCCGUCGUGGAAAGGGAAACAACCCAGACCGCCAGCUAAGGUCCCAAAUACCAGUUAAGUGGGAAACGAUGUGGGAAGGCCCAGACAGCUAGGAAGUUGGCUUAGAAGCAGCCAUCUUUUAAAGAAAGCGUAAUAGCUCACUAGUCGAGUCGGCCCGCGCGGAAGAUAUACCGGGGCUCAAACUGGUAACCGAAGCUGCGGGNNNNNNNNNNNNNNNNNNNNNNNNNNNNNNNNNNNNNNNNNNNNNNNNNNNNNNNNNNNNNNNNNNNNNNNNNNNNNNNNNNNNNNNNNNNNNNNNNACGGUAGAGGAGCGUUCUGUAAGCCGUUGAAGGUGGAUCGAGAGGUCUGCUGGAGGUAUCAGAAGUGCGAAUGCUGACAUGAGUAACGACAAGGGAGGUGAAAAACCUCCCCGCCGGAAGACCAAGGGUUCCUGUCCAACGCUAAUCGGGACAGGGUUAGUCGGCCCCUAAGGCGAGGGCGAAAGCCGUAGUCGAUGGGAAACAGGUUAACAUUCCUGUACUCGCUAUUGCUGCGAUGGAGUGACGGAGAAGGCUAGGCCAGCACGGCGAUUGGUUGUCCGUGUUUAAGGUAGUAGGCUGGGGGUUUAGGCAAAUCCGGACCCCUAAGGCUGAGAACUGACGACGAAGCUUACUUCGGUAAGUGAAGUGGUUGAUGCCCUGCUUCCAGGAAAAACUUCUAAGCUUCAGGCAAUAGAGAACCGUACUCGAAACCGACACAGGUGGUCAGGUAGAGAAUACCAAGGCGCUUGAGAGAACUCUGGUGAAGGAACUAGGCAAAAUGGUACCGUAACUUCGGGAGAAGGUACGCCGGUUUUGGUGAUGGGACUUGCUCCCUAAGCUGAGGCCGGUCGAAGUGACCAGGUGGCUGCGACUGUUUAUUAAAAACAUAGCACUCUGCAAACACGUAAGUGGACGUAUAGGGUGUGACGCCUGCCCGGUGCCGGAAGGUUAAUUGAUGGGGUUAGCUUCGGCGAAGCUCUUGAUCGAAGCCCCGGUAAACGGCGGCCGUAACUAUAACGGUCCUAAGGUAGCGAAAUUCCUUGUCGGGUAAGUUCCGACCUGCACGAAUGGCGUAACGAUGGCCACGCUGUCUCCACCAGAGACUCAGUGAAAUUGAAAUCGCUGUUAAGAUGCAGUGUACCCGCGGCUAGACGGAAAGACCCCGUGAACCUUUACUACAGCUUUGCACUGAACUUUGAGCCUGCUUGUGUAGGAUAGGUGGGAGGCUUUGAAGCGAGGACGCCAGUUCUCGUGGAGCCAUCCUUGAAAUACCACCCUGGCAUGUUUGAGGUUCUAACCCAGGUCCCUUAUCGGGAUCGGGGACAGUGUAUGGUGGGUAGUUUGACUGGGGCGGUCUCCUCCCAAAGAGUAACGGAGGAGUACGAAGGUGCACUCAGCAUGGUCGGAAAUCAUGCAAUGAGCAUAAUGGUAUAAGUGCGCUUGACUGCGAGACAGACAUGUCGAGCAGGUACGAAAGUAGGUCAUAGUGAUCCGGUGGUUCUGUAUGGAAGGGCCAUCGCUCAACGGAUAAAAGGUACUCCGGGGAUAACAGGCUGAUACCGCCCAAGAGUUCACAUCGACGGCGGUGUUUGGCACCUCGAUGUCGGCUCAUCACAUCCUGGGGCUGAAGCCGGUCCCAAGGGUAUGGCUGUUCGCCAUUUAAAGUGGUACGCGAGCUGGGUUUAGAACGUCGUGAGACAGUUCGGUCCCUAUCUGCCGUGGGCGUUGGAGAUUUGAGAAGAGUUGCUCCUAGUACGAGAGGACCGGAGUGAACGAACCUCUGGUGUUCGGGUUGUCACGCCAGUGGCAUUGCCCGGUAGCUAUGUUCGGACGGGAUAACCGCUGAAAGCAUCUAAGCGGGAAGCCUCCUUCAAGAUGAGAUCUCCCUGGGACUUCGAGUCCCCUGAAGGGCCCUGGAAGACUACCAGGUUGAUAGGCUGGGUGUGGAAGCG
rnacentral:rRNA from 1 species